UACGUAGGGUGCGAGCGUUGUCCGGAAUUAUUGGGCGUAAAGAGCUCGUAGGCGGUUUGUCGCGUCUGCUGUGAAAACCUAAGGCUCAACCUUGGGCUUGCAGUGGGUACGGGCAGACUAGAGUGCGGUAGGGGUGACUGGAAUUCCUGGUGUAGCGGUGGAAUGCGCAGAUAUCAGGAGGAACACCGGUGGCGAAGGCGGCUUUCUGGGUCUUACCUGACGCUGGAGGAACG
rnacentral:rRNA from 1 species